rnacentral:rRNA from 1 species
AGUGAACGCUGGCGGUAGGCCUAACACAUGCAAGUCGAACGGCAGCACAGUAAGAGCUUGCUCUUACGGGUGGUGAGUGGCGGACGGGUGAGGAAUACAUCGGAAUCUACUUUUUCGUGGGGGAUAACGUAGGGAAACUUACGCUAAUACCGCAUACGACCUACGGGUGAAAGCAGGGGAUCUUCGGACCUUGCGCGAUUGAAUGAGCCGAUGUCGGAUUAGCUAGUUGGCGGGGUAAAGGCCCACCAAGGCGGCGAUCCGUAGCUGGUCUGAGAGGAUGAUCAGCCACACUGGAACUGAGACACGGUCCAGACUCCUACGGGAGGCAGCAGUGGGGAAUAUUGGACAAUGGGCGCAAGCCUGAUCCAGCCAUACCGCGUGGGUGAAGAAGGCCUUCGGGUUGUAAAGCCCUUUUGUUGGGAAAGAAAAGCAGCAGGUUAAUACCCCGCUGUUCUGACGGUACCCAAAGAAUAAGCACCGGCUAACUUCGUG